GCCCCCAUAGCUCAAUUGGUAGAGCAACGGACUCUUAAUCCGCAGGUUUCAGGUUCGAUUCCUGAUGGGGGUA
rnacentral:tRNA from 1 species